rnacentral:rRNA from 1 species
GACAGAGGGUGCAAACGUGUUCGGAUUUACUGGGCGUAAAGGGCGCGUAGGCGGCAAUUCAAGUCAAUCUGUGGAAAUCCUCCGGGCUUAACCCGGAACGGUCAGAUGAUACUGCUUUGCUAGAGUGCGGAAGGGGCAAUCGGAAUUCUUGGUGUAGCGGUGAAAUGCGUAGAUAUCAAGAGGAACACCUGAGGUGAAGACGGGUUGCUGGGCCGACACUGACGCUGACAGCGCGAAAGCCAGGGGAGGCAAACGGG